GGAAAAGGGGGAAAAGCGUCUCUUUUCUAGCACAGCCGCCUCCUUACACGUUGCAGUCACCGUGCGCAGAGGUGCUGAUUUAAUCAUGUGAAAAGCGUCUCCUAAAUUCAGCGACAGCUCCGGUGUGAAGGAGGUUGGUUGAAUAUGCUCCCUAUGAUAUAUAUGAGAUUGGCAUAGGAAACAUUUAUUGGAAUCAUGAACAUGACACUCCUUGUCCAGCAUCUUUUUAAUACUCCAAGUUGAUAUCUUCUCUGAAUAGUUCCUCUGCUCAGCCUUCAUUGAUGGACAUCAAAGACUUCAUACAGCACCUCUAUUGCAGAGACCAUGCAGUGUUGCAUCUGAAAUGAAAUGCUCAGGAAGAUGAAUGAACAGCCCUUGCAAUAAGUAGAUACAGAGACUUCUCCGAGAGGCUGCCGCUGGCAUAACCUCUUUUGGGAAAAGUCUUUCGUUUAAAGGACAUCCCUGCAAAUCAAGAAAUGAGAGUUUUGUUGUCAGCUGUGCCAGACACCAAAGAAAAAGUCAUUUUGUCCAGACACUUGAAGACUUACUUGAAGCAGGACUGUUGCACGGCCAGGCCUGAAGCAAUUCGAUCAGAAUACAGAUGUUUGCCAUUCCAGCAUCACUGCAGGAGCUGUCACCCAGAAGGAAAUGGAAAAUGCAAUAGGAGCAAAUUCUGGACGGUAGAGCCAAGAUCGUUAUCCUAAUGACUUCUUUAUUUAUUUAUUUAUGUGUUUCAAAACAAGAAAGUGUGUACAGCCAUUUGGAAAAUGACCUACCUACCUUUCCAACCUACACACAGCAAAAGCAAUUCAAAUGCUGAGGUGUGAGACCACGUCUACAAUGCAGCUACACAGCACUCGUGCGUUUCCAACACAACUGGGGAUUUAAUGCCCUGAAGUUAAUAGGUGCUGAGUGGUAGAAAUCCAAGACAUGGCUUAAAUGAGAGUCAUAACUGCCUUAAAUGUAGGCCAGUUAUCCCCUCCCUGUUGCUUGUAAUUGCUAGUCGGCCUUUUUGUUGUUGUGGUUAUGUAGUACACUGGUUCAACAGAGAGACUGGAGAAAAGACUUUGUUUCAGACAUACCUGAAAUUAAUUUUCAGUUGUGUUUUGCUCUCUCGUGUGAGAAAAAGAAAUAAAACCGAUUUGGAUUAAAAUUUGCAUCAAACAUUUAGCUCAACUAAAGAUAAAACGUUUUAAUGGCAGCAGAAGCAGGCCACAUUUAUUUUGAUUUAAGUAACCUUUGUAGCUCGAAACCAAAAUAAAUACAUAAAUAAAUAAAUAACUGGUUUGCCAAUAUGGAGGAAAAAACUGAAGUUCCUCUGGUUUUUCCUCUUUUACUCAGAGAGGGAGAAACUGAAACACUCUGACGUGCGACACAGUUGAACAAACAGAUUCGGCCUUGAGUUUUUCUGUAUUGGUUUGUUUUCCUAGAAUAAAGAGAAUCGGUUGCCCAGCUCUAACCUUGAGACCUGCAGCAGUUGUCUCCUUUACAGGUGUAACAAAGAAGGAAAUGAGGAGCUUAAUAACUCAUUUAUUUUAAUGACAACUGCAUGACCCUGUUUCCAUCUCUGCAACUGUAGCUGGUCUGCUUUUCCAGUGUGUAUGCCCAAUUAUAACUUGCAAGAAGGCAUGUACCUCAUAAAGAAUUUAGUUCGUUUUCAAUAUUUUCCAAAGCUGUGUAAAUGAACAAUGCACUUUUUACAGGUCUUUCAUCAAGGAGUUAAUAACCAGAUGAAGGUUCUCUUUUCAUCAGUUCGUAAGUGAUGCUCCAUUUGAUUGAAGAAGAUCAAAAAUGACGAUCAGAAAAUAACAAGGAAGUUUUAAAGGUGGCCUUUAUACAACACUUCAACCGUCUCAUUCCUGUUAUUUCAGAGUUAUCACUGGGUUUCUUUUCAGGUUUGGAAAAAAAAUGUAUGAAAUUCUGAAGAAUUGCCAGUACUUGCCUUUUUUUUAAAUUUGAGAAACCUAUUUGUUAAUUGUGGUCAACAUGCCUCUUCCAGACUGUGCCACAGUGUUAUGUGAAAGCAACAGCAGCAAGGCUAUUAGAUUCUGACAUGUAUGACAGUAUCCAUGGCAUUCAUCUUGCAUCCCAGCCUGUAUCAGCAUUCACGGCAGUUCCAAGUGACCCUGUUCUGCCCUGAUUUGACAUGACCUGCUCCCCAUCCCUCAGUGGGCUCAGGUAUCACAGGAGCUCUGCAGUCUGGGGAGAGGGAGAGAAGAUAGCCCUUAUUCAGGAUCCUCUCUACCUAUAACCACAGUGCCACUGUUCGCAGUGACCAGUGCAUUUGUCAUCCUCUUACAUUUGGUUUUACAGGAAAUUUCCAUUUUCUUUAAUUGUCUCUUGGAAGUCCUCUGUAUAAAUUUUCUAUCCCAGCUCAUUUAGUCUUUUCUAUUUGACUUUAUUGCUUCUGAGUAGGAGUAGGUAAAUUCUCUGCAAAGAGGUGAGAUGCUUCUUCCUUAAACCAGCUCAAACAUGUAAGAGUCUUUCUUGUCCCUACUGUCCCUCCUCUCUCUCCUGCAAUCCAGUCACCUCGUGUGCAGUUGUCUCUCUCUCUCCUCUCUCUCCAUCUGACCUUUUCUGCUGACCCUUCCCUUACUGCAGCAGCAGCAACAACAAAAAACUCAACACACUUAAUCUCAUUGCCUUGUUGCCAAAAGAAGCCUUGUCUCUGCAGUUUCCGGCAGUAGUUAAAUACUUGUUCCUUGGCAGCAUUUUGCUUUGGGUUUGGUCAUUAAUGCACUAGUGCUAAUAAUGAGUGUUUGAUACAAGCUGUCAUCACUCGUGGUGAUGCUAGACUAGGAGUUUUGUGACUAGCAAAGCUCCCCAAAAACCUUUUUCCUGACCUAAUGAACCCUUCUGAGAUCAUCAGAUGUAAGGCCAAAUUCAACUCCCUGAUACUGAAAUGGGAUUGGCUGUGAAGAAAAACUGUCCUAAGGGUAAGGUGGGGAGUGACUGCUUGCUAGGGAACUGCAGAACAGCUUGAAGGACUUGAGAUUCUGCGUAGAACCUCUGGUUAUUCACUAAGUGAAGUGCUGAGCAGGUUGCUCGGUGCUUUGUCUGGUUGGAUUUUGUCCUUGGCUGUCUGCAAGGACACAGAUGCCACCACCUUCCCAGUGUUGCUCUUUGUCCUUUCCUGGGACACCCUGACAAGGGUGGUUUCUUUUUCUGCAGAGCUGUGUCUGGUACUGGAUCUGGAAAUAUGAACCUGUCUUCUCGAUGUUCUUGACCUGGCCUGCAGCCUGCAGUUGGAAUUCCCAAAGCCAGGCAUGGCAGAGGAUGUCACCAUCUUCAGGUGAAGGUCUUUUGGAGGAUUGGCCCUGCAGUGGAGAAAAGAACAUGGUCAGCUUCAAGAAGCCUAUGUUCUACCUCUGAAGCAGAACUAUUAAGUGUGAGGCUAGCUUGAGAUUUCAGCUACUAAGGAAGGAAACUGAAGAGGAAGGGAAGAUGCAGUCAGCUCCUUGGCUGGAAACCAGCAGGGUUACAUUAAGGCAAUAAACUCAAACCCACACUUUUGUAAGGUCAGCAAGGAAAUGGGGAGAAGCUGCAGCCACUCACGUCUCAGCUACUGAACAGAGACAGUUGUGGGGGUCUGAAAUAGCAUUGGCAUAACAACAGAGCAAUCAGAAUAAGAACACCAGAGGGACACAGUGGUACCCUCUAGUAGUGACAAUGUUACUCCCAUCCCUUGCUGUUGUGUAUUUCAUCCAAUUACCCCAACUAUGUUUUCUUUAAUAUUAUAAGGGCUGUAGCCCUGGCUCUCUGUUGCAAAGAGAGAAACUGAGGCACAAUAAGGUAAAGAUAUCAUCCUAAACUAUUCCAUCUUGCAAUUUGAACUGUUCCCCUAAGAAUGAGCUCACACACAUUUAUUUAUGGUUUCAGUCUAGGAGUGAUGUGGGUUUCUGGUACUUGAUAUUUCAUAGCUUCUAAUUACCCUGUAUAGUGAAGCCUGCAGAGAAUCAGAAAAUGUUACAUUUAAUUUUGGAUCAAAUUUAAUGAAGCACUGGUCUUUUGGAGAAGCACUGUAUUUUCAGGCAAUCUCGGAGAACUCAACAAAAGGCACAUUUUAUUGCAGGUGCUUUGCACAACCUUCAUCGGGAUUAAAUUUGAUGGAAAAUGGGAUAUCUGAAUAUGGAUUCAUACCACUAUACUUCUUAGGAAAUUCUUGAUCCCACAGUUCUGAAGCUCAGUUAUCUUUAGAUCUAAUUUUUAAAAUCAGUUAUCUUUUCAGCAGGAUGUAUAAAUAAAUCAGCAGAAG